GCAGCGAGCGCAGAGAUGGCUUUAGGGAUGGAGAUGCUGCUUGAGGAGCCCGCAGAUAAGUUUUUCUAUUAAAAAAGAUAGGCGUUAGUGUAUUUCUUUAGGGAUUAUAAGUAGUGAAAAUACGGAGAUACUGCUUUGCAUUAAGUUCUUAGAUAAAUUUUAGGGAAAAUAUGAAGACUUAAAGAGUAGUUGGAGAAAGGAAGAGGGAAGAAAAAAGAUAAUUUUAGAACCUGAGGGAGGUUAAGAGCUGAAAUUUUUUCAUGGAGUGAAAAAUUUAAAAGAAUUGAUGAGCUAGGACUGCAAUGUCUGGAUUUUUUUUUUAAAGCCUUAACUUGAAGGGCAACCUUUUACCUUAACAUUAAAACGUUGGGUUACGUAAAUCGAACCUAAACGUUUUAAAAGGUUGAGUUGUAGGUGAUUAAAAUACUACAAAGGCCAUCUUAAGAUUUAACUGAAGGUGGUUUCAGAAAUAAUGCCUUCAGAUUCACGGCGCAGUAAAAAUGGCGUCAUUUGAAGCCUGCUUGAUACUAAGGCUUUGUUUGGCUAAAGUUGACGGAAAUAUUAGGAAUGGUAGGAAAGAAAAUUGGAAGUUUGAAGUGGAAAAUUCGGAAGACAGAAGUACAGGAAGGUGAAGAAAAAACUAGAGAAGAUAAGAGAUACACGUUUUAGAAGAUAAAACCUGAGCCUAGUAAGUAGGCAGAAAAAGACAAAUCUAGGAGAAAAUUGAAAAUACGGUCGAGUGCUUAAGAUAGAAUGAAAAGAAAGCUAUUGGACGCAAACAUACAAGAUAGACGUCCAAAAAUUUAGAUAGUUCAAAAUCAAUAAUGUUGGAUAAAUUACAGGAACAAAAACUAAGGAAAUUUUUAUAGCCAAUAAGAAUUUAUUGUAAAAGCCCAUCAACUUAUUUCUGGUGGUGCAAAAGUUAGAUCUCAGAAGAUGAGGGUUUUUUUUUUUAAAACUACUGUAGACCAGGACCAACUUAGAAGAAAAUCCGGAAACUAGGAGAGUCAAUUUAAAAUCUCAGCAAAAAGUUACUGAAGGGGACUGAAGUAACUUAAAAGUUAAGAAUGUAUUUGGGAGAGUUAAAAAUCUGAAAGGCCUUAAAUGCGGUAGCGUAGUUUCCUUUGGAAAAUGUAAAGGACUUUAUAAGUGAAUUAAAUUGAAGAGCAAGAAUAACCAUCGAGUUAUUGGACUUUGAGCUAAGAUGAAUGUUUAAAUCCUGAGGACUAGGCGCUAAAUAACAGCUGACGCAGGUGCUACGCAGAAGUGGAUUCAGUGAAGCUAGGAAGACAGGAGCGGCAGACAGGAUUCGGAGCCAGUGUUGGUGAAAACUAGGACUGAGGAGCCAGCGGCAGUUCGUGAAGAUAGGAAAGAGAAGCCCGGGAGCCAGUGCGACUUGGUGAAGGAAGCUAGGAAGAAGGAGCGAGUCCUAACGAUUUGGAGGUGAAGCUAGGAGAGGAUUCCAGGAAGGAGGAAGCCAGUGCGGUGUGGUGAAGCUAGCGUGCGGCUUGGCUUGGCAACCACGCGGAGGCGGCGAGCAGGCGGAGUGGAGGAUAGAUAGAGGAUCCUAGAGCAGCAGACCAGUGUACGAGCCCCGCAGGGAGAGCCAGUGGUGUGGUAAAAAUCCGUGAAGUCGGCACUAUCGUGGGUUUUUUUUCCUCCUGUAACUCAGUAUGGUGAUUUAAUAAAACUUAAUACUACUAUAGGAGCUUCAGAGCAAAGGAGGUGGCUUAAUGAUCCUGAAGGGAUUUCUUCUGGUGGUAGCUUUUGUAUUAUCAAGUAAGAUUCUUUUUUCGGCUGUAUAUAAGCAAGAUUGUUUGGUUUAUUCUUUUCUUUUUUAGCGUAGGAAAAGUUUGUUGUUAAGGUAUGCUUCAAAAUUAUUGUUAAUUGUAUUUUGAAUUUACAUCUAAGCCUUGUAAAUCAUAACUGAUAAGAGGGGGUGGGCUUUUGUUGAUGAGGGAGGGGAAACCUUUUUUUUUUGUAGACUUUUUUCAGAUAACAUCUUCUGAGUCAUAACCAGCCUGGCAAUCUGAUGGCCUAGAUGGAGAGGGGAACAGCUCCUUGGUGAAUGAUAAGUAAAGGCAGAAAAGAUUGUAUUUCAUACCUACAUUGGGGAAAAAAGCAUAACCCUGAGAUUUUCUUCUGAUGAACACAUUGUCUGCACAUGCAAAAAAAAAAGCAAAUGAAAACUACCAAUUUAAAGUUAAUGGAAUCUACUACUAUAAAGUUAAUGGCUUAUCAAGCUGUAUCCACAAAAAUAAUGAAUUGAUGAAAAAUAAAAAUAACGAUACAAUGAAGAUCAAAAUGUCAAUCUCAAUACUGCUUUUACAAAAGCAGAAUUAAAAAAGCGAAAUGAAAAUAGCGCUACAUAUUAAUCCUGGAAAAAAAAGAAGCUGAAAUAAUUGAAAUGAGUGGGAUCAAGUGAAUUGAGAGGAGGAAGAGGCUGUGCUGUUUGCCAAUCUUUCGUUUGCCUCAGACAGGUUUUUCUUCAUUAUCAGAAGAGUUGCUUCAUUUCAUCUGGGAGCAGAAAACAGCAGGCAGCUGUUAACAGAUAAGUUUAACUUGCAUCUGCAGUAUUGCAUGUUAGGAAUAAGUGCUUACCUUUGUGAAGAGCUGUGGAAGUCCUAGGUCCCUUACCUAAGGGAUUCCAGGAUUGUGAGGCAUCGUCCCAUCCAGCCUUUUAAAAUUAGACAGGACAGCGUUCCUGUGGGCUUUGAUGAUGGGACAGCACAUUUCAUUCAAGAGGCAAGUAAUUCCUUAAAGCCUCUUGAGAUUAGCAAAGAUAAUGUUUAUAAAACUAAGAACAUUUGUUUAGCCUUGAAUCUGACAGCCCUAUUUAAGGGAUAGUAUUGUACUGUUAAGAAUUCAGAUUUUGUUAAUCUUGCUAAAAUUCAAAUGUUACGUGUAUUGUGCAGAAAACCAUUAAAUCAUUCAAAAUAAAAUACUUUUAUUUUUAGAGAAUGUAUGCUUUUAGGAAGCUGUCUCCUUAUUUAAAUAAAACAUUGUUUGUCUGUAGUUAGUGUUGGGGCAAUCUGGGGGGGGUUUCUUCUCAUCUUUCAGAAACUUUGUCUGCGAACACUCUUUAAUGGACAAGAUCAGGAAAUUGAGCAGAAGAACGAAUUUAAUUUAAGGCAGGAAAAAAUUUUGUCCUUCGUAAAAGUGAUGAGCAUUUAAUAAUUCCAGGCACAUGGCAAUAGAGGCCCUCUAAAUAAGGAAUAAAUACCUCUUAGACAGGUGGGAGAUUAUGAUCAGAAGAACAGGUAACUUAACUCCUACAAUGUUUGCAGAAAGUCAGGAGUCUGUCUAGUGGUUAAACUAGAGUAAUGGAAUGUACUGUCCACAUUUCCAGUUUGCAUGUUAACUUUGCUUAGUCAUCUCAUCUGGUGUUAGCCAGUGUUCACACUGUUGGCCUACUUUUUAGAUACCUGGUGGGGGGGUGGUUGGUUUUUUUUUUUUUUUUUAAAGAAUUUUCCUUUGCAGAGGCUUCAUUUCAUCCUUCGUGAAGCUUUUCAGGAUUUUGGCUUUCAUGUAAACGCUUGGCUCUGCCUUCUGUUCUCCUAGGGAGUGUUUCAGACCUUGCAGUGAGUUUAUCGGCAUAUUUAAGUAUAAACAUUUUUCCCCUUGAAUUUGGAGGGAAGGGAGGAGAGGGUGGGGCUUACUUGUUUUAGCUUUUUUUUUUACAGACUACACAGAAUGCAGUUGUCUUGACCUCAGGUCUGUGUGUUCUCUUGGCAAGUAAUACAGUACUGUUCUGAUCCGCUGCUAUUAGAAUGCAUUUUGAAACGACUGGAGUAUGAGUCAAAGUUGUGUUUCCCCCAAUGCUUGGAGUGGAGUAGUGAUUGUUAAAAGAAAAUCCAGCUGAGUGAUAAAAGGCUGAGUGUUGAGGAAAUUUCUGCAGCUUUUUAAGCAUUCAUGUUUGUGAUUGGAGCGGAGUCCCUUUUGCUGUGCUUUUUUUUAGGAACAUUCAAAACAACAGACAGACGUAUGCGAAAGGCCAGAGAAGCCAGACCCAGUAAGGAAAAAUAGCUUACUUACUUUUAAAAUAAUAAACCAAAAAACACUGCAUUUUAAAUGUGGGGAUUGGGAACCACUAGUUCUUGCAGAUGGUAUUCUUCAGACUAUAGAAGGAGCUUCCAGUUGAAUUCACCAGUGGACAAAAUGAGGACAACAGGUGAACAAGUUUUUUCUAUGUCUACAUACCAAGUCAGAUCUGUAUGAGUAAACAACAAUUCAGUGUUAAAUGACCUUUCAGCUUUACGCUGGAGUCAACAGCAUGAGCAAGUUGUUUGUUGGCCUGGGGGUGGAGGGGUGAGGUGGGCGCUAAGCCUUUUUUUUAAGAUUUUUCAGGUACCCCUCACUAAAGGCACCAAAGGCUUAAAGUAGGACAACCAUGGAGUCUUCCUGUGGCAAGAGAGACAACAAAGCGCUAUUAACUAAGGUCAAUCAAAAUGGUGUCGGCCUCACAGCCCCAUCUUCUGUUAGAAAUGAGGACUUGACUCAACCCCCUUGACAAUGUGCAUUGAGGCUCUCUGGGGGAGCGAGCAUUUAAAGGAAUGCUUGAGUACCUUGUAUAUAUAUCCCUGUGCUUGUCCUAAUAUUUAAUUUGGCUGUUUUCAUAGCAGCUGUUAAUGAAGCCUGAACUUCAAGUGAUGCUUGAAGGGGAGGGAAAGGGGGAAAGCGGGCAACCACUUUUCCCUAGCUUUUCCAGAAGCCUGUUAAAAAGCAAGGUCUCCCCACAAGUGACUUCUCUGCCACAUCGCCACCCUGUGCCUUUGGCCUAGCGCAGACCCUUCACCCCUCACCUCGAUGCUGCUGGUAGCUUGGAUCCUUGUGGGCAUGAUCCAUAAUCGCUUUUAAGGUAAUUGCCAAGGUCUUCCGGUGGGUUGCACUACUAGAAAAGACCAUUAAUUUACCUGUCAACAGGUAAUAUUUAGACCACAACUAAAAAGCUCUUAAAGUGUUGUAAAUGUGUGGCAUUAUCCAAUGACUUUAAAAAAACAUUUCAAACCAGUAAGUGGAGAAAUAGCAUCUAAGAACUGUCAUAUUGGGUGGGAGAGUACAUUUAUGAACUGAAAAGUGUUUUGGCAGUUGAGAGGGCUGUUGGGUGGGAUUGCAAAAAUUCUCUGCUAAGACUUUUUCAGGUGAACAUAACAGACUUGACCAAGCUAGCACCUUAGCUGAAGCAGAUUCUCCAGUGCUCUUCAAUAGGGUUAUUGAUAAAGGUUUUUCUUUUCCUGAGAAAACAAAAUCUUUUUUGUUUUCUCAGGUUUUGCUUUUUUGCCUUUUCUUAUCUUAAAAAAAAAAGCAAAAGAUGCUGGUGGUUGGCACUCCUGGUUUCCAGGACGGGGUUCAAAUCCCUGUGGCGUCUUUGCUUGACUUUUACUCUCCAGACUCUACUUCCUGUCUCUCAGGUGCUAGGCCUUAGAAUUAGGGGAGGUGGAAGAUAAUAGUGUGAAACUCUGCAUUUGUGUUUACAUGACAACGUAAUGUAACUACCAUGCAUCUAAUUUGCAGAUAUUCCUCAUGCAACUAGUGAUUGGAGAAGCCUGUUUUGAAAAAUUGAUUACACAUAUCAAUAAAAAUUGAAAAAACUUCA
ensembl:lncRNA